rnacentral:lncRNA from 1 species
CAAAGCUGCUUGCGUUGAGAGUGAAAUCUAAAACAUAAUCUCUGGAUCAACUUGUUCCUUCAUUCUUCUGCACAAACCAGCAGGGCUCAACCUAGGAGCUGUAACACCAAUGGUGGCUCAAAGACUGAAGAGGAGCAAUAUUCAUCCAUAAAUUUUCCUUCUUACAUGUGAGGUGCUCCAAAGGAGGUAUACAGAAAGGACGGCUCUUCCGUUAACAGCUACAGCGCUCUGGGUCCCUGUGAGCCUCCCCAGUAGCCACAGCACUCCUGGCAGGCCCGUCCCCGCCACUGCUGCUUCCUCCCAGGAGCACACAUCCUGCCUGUUCCUGCUCCCACUCCUACCCUCAGGCCGUGGCAUGGAGGAAACGCUGGACACGGCAGUGGAGACUGGGAAUGGAGCCCUUGCAGGGCAUAUGUGGUGCCUUCUUACACUUGGAAAAAUAUGUUGCACGUGCUUAGAGGUGCUUCUACACACAACUGCCUAACCAGAUGUCAAACCAAUGAGUAAUAAGAAGAGUCAGCGGUUACUAUGAGAUAUUAAUUGUAUGCUUCAGUAAUUAGCUUCUGCUGAAAACCGGUUUUCCACAGGCCACAAUUUUAGGAUGGAAGUAGAGAGCAACAUAAAUGACAAGCAUAUAAACAUGCUGUGGUUAACCGUGUCAGUCGGUAGAUGGCUGUAUUGCUUCUAGCUGUCUUCAGGGAAUACGUUUCCAUUUCUAUGGCCAAGAAAGGGAAAGCUUUUUCCCAGAGAUACAAGGAGCCACUGAGAGUACAUGGAGACCUUUGCAUUUUGAUGUUUUAAAAUGGCUCCAUUUUAAAUACAAUAUUAUUCCUCCGUUUUUGUCUAUUUGUUAAUUGCACAGAAUUUUUUAACACUCUGGUUUAGCAGUCUAUCUGUUGGGUUUUUUUGCCUUACCUGAAGUAAAGUAAUCUACUUAAACUCACCUUAAACUCACACCCCGGGUUGUGAAAUCACAAAGACUCCAUUAUGGAGGAACUGGAUAUUUCAGCUGUUAAGAAAUGGGCUGCGAGGUUUUUAUGCUGUGUGUCGUGGGCUCAGAUCUGGUCCAUAUUCAUAGUUACUAUUCUGGGUUCUUCUAAUUGUUACCUGCUGGUUAUGCAAUAAUACCUUUCAG